rnacentral:rRNA from 1 species
GACAGAGGGUGCUAGCGUUGUUCGGAAUUACUGGGCGUAAAGGGCGCGUAGGCGGUCUGUUAAGUUCGGUGUGAAAUCCCCUGGCUCAACUGGGGAACUGCGCUGGAAACUGGCAGACUCGAGUACCGGAGAGGAGAGUGGAAUUCCUGGUGUAGCGGUGAAAUGCGCAGAUAUCAGGAGGAACACCGGUGGCGAAGGCGGAUCUCUGGGCCUUACCUGACGCUGAGGCGCGAAAGCUAGGGGAGCAAACAGG